GACGAACGCUGGCGGCGUGCCUAAUACAUGCAAGUCGAGCGCAGGAAGCCGUCUGAACCCUUCGGGGGGACGACGGUGGAAUGAGCGGCGGACGGGUGAGUAACACGUAAAGAACCUGCCCAUAGGUCUGGGAUAACCACGAGAAAUCGGGGCUAAUACCGGAUGUGUCAUCGGACCGCAUGGUCCGCUGAUGAAAGGCGCUCCGGCGUCGCCCAUGGAUGGCUUUGCGGUGCAUUAGCUAGUUGGUGGGGUAACGGCCCACCAAGGCGACGAGGCAUAGCCGACCUGAGAGGGUGAUCGGCCACACUGGGACUGAGACACGGCCCAGACUCCUACGGGAGGCAGCAGUAGGGAAUCUUCCACAAUGGACGAAAGUCUGAUGGAGCAACGCCGCGUGAACGAUGAAGGCUUUCGGGUCGUAAAGUUCUAUUGUAAGGGAAGAACAAGUGCCGCAGGCAAUGGCGGCACCUUGACGGUACCUUGCGAGAAAGCCACGGCUAACUACGUGCCAGCAGCCGCCGUAACAC
rnacentral:rRNA from 1 species